AUAUCUCUCUGUACGGGAAGGAUGAGAAGCUUCGACCAAGGUUCGAUUCGAGCGCAGCGAGAAAGCGU
rnacentral:sRNA from 1 species